UAUAACAGUUUUUGUCGUUUCUUUGUGCAAAGUUUCGACGCAAACAUUCAAAACCUAUCGGAUUAGAAUGCUAUUUUACGGUUACAAAAAGUUCCCAUCUUAUUUUAUAUUACGCUAUCUGACCAAGUCAGCUUGCGCACAUGGUCCUGCACGUCGAGAGACGUGAGACACACACUUCCGCACUUCCGAUGCAGCCUUUCAGUUCAACUGAACUGGAGAUGAUAGUACCUGUAGUCGACACCUGAGCUGUUCAGCAGUAAUUGUGCACACCUAACUAAAUCACGAUACAUAACCACUGCACACCAACGCAGGCAUUCAACCACUGAGCCCCGCUGUCAAACAGGCCCUCGCAAUGCUCUUGUUGCAUUGCAUAGUGACUCAGUCGCUACUUUCCACCAUUAGAGAUCAGUGAAAGGGAUUCUUGGCUUCUGUGUGAGACAUCUCUCUAACAGGUGCAGAGGAUAUUCAGACACCAAGUUGUAGGAAGGUGUUCGCAAAGCAAUGCAGGCAUGCGGUGUGAAAAAACCUGAGAUCUUCAAGGACGUUUUAUGUCGUGCUUAUGGCCAUCCGAAGAACCCACAAUGCCAAAUCGAUGGUGCACUUGACGUUGUCUGUAAUCAAAUUCAAACCAGUCCAGUCUAUUUCAUUGGAACAACCGCAAGAUUGAUAGACUUCAUGCAGAGGGAAAACAACCUCAUGGAACAACAUGCAAUGCUCACGAAAAUUGGAUAACAACUCAUGUGUCAAUUCUACCAUAAUAACUAACUAACUAACUAACUAACUAACUAACUAAAUAAAUAAAUAAACUUGAAAACAUGAUUUGUCUUGCAGAGACAGUUGAUCCAUACUAUCAGACAAAAAAAUUCAACAGCAAAAAAACUAAGAAGGUAAAUAAAAACCUGGAGAAACAGAUACUUAAAUGGCUUCCACGUAUCUCUACCAAGAAGUCCUUACAACUUAUCUUCUAGAACUAUAUUUUUUCAGAGACCAUCUUCACUUCGUUGGUGCCAUGGUCUUGUAGUUUUAGGGAAGGUCCAUGCUCAAGAUAACCCUCCGUCAUGGAGCAAUUCGACGUGAGGCUCAAACUACCAGUCUUGUCGAGAUCGAGCUUUGGUAUACUAACCAUCUUGCGGGACCUCUUCAUGUUGCCACUGGAAAUUGGUAAGAAGGAUUUGGGUCAGCACUAUGUUUUGCUUCAGCUUUAUGAAACGGUGCUUGAAGUUAUAUCGUGAGACCCACCGCAUGUUGUGUUGUAUUGCGUACGGUUAACGUUCUUAGACUCGAGGAUUGUGUGGGCCUGGGAGACAAUGGUGACACCCUUUCCGCUGCUUCAAUGCUCUGCAACUUGCCAGUACCGUGCUACUGUUCUGGGAUGCCAAGAAUAUGUGAAGUGAUACUGGGUCAAGAUACCCAGAAAAUUGUUGGGUGAGAUUUUGGGUUUAGACUCCGAGAUUGUGUGAGCUCCAUUCUUUUACUUUCUCUCGACGAAUUCCACUUCGCCUGGACCUCUUGUUUCCUCUUGAAACGCUUACAAUCGACCUGCAAAUGUGCAGUAACCCCAAGUCGAUUUACUCUUGUUCUGUCCACGUAAGGUAUCACGUUCAAUUUCAUCAAAAGCAACCGAUGCAUAUUCGCAUCGUUGCUUGAAGGAGGUACCUCACGGCCGAGGAAAAGCGUUCAGGAAGACACGAUGGGCUGCACCAAAACCCCUUAAUCAACGGCGGGGGUAUGGUAUUCGCUCUUGAAGACUAGUCCUGGGUUUCUAAUCAGGACAAUCAAUGUGGGUCAUUAGGUCUCGCUGAAAAUAAAAAUGACCU
rnacentral:lncRNA from 1 species